UGAAGCUCGACAAAUGACCUCGGGGAAAACGUCAGCAUUCCUCAAAACCCCUCCCAGCACAGUAGUGCACUCCCAGCUCCCUGAGGGCCUGGCUCUAAGUCUGAGGAAACACACUCUCUCUCGAACUUGAACUUGCCAGAGAGAACUCAGGCACUGACUGUGACGACGCGGGUGGGGAGAGACUGUGCACCUACACGUGUCACUUCACAAAGGCCUCCAGAUUCCAACAAGUUGACAAACGGUGCAAAUGUCAGAGAUUAAAAUAUCUCCUUCAUUGCUGAUAAGGCUGAGUUGGCGAAUUCUUCUUGGAUCCAAUACAAAAAUGAGAUUGUUUCCAUUUCUCACCUGAAUUAAACUUACAGGGCAGAGGUGACCUGCUUAGUGAGCAGGCCACGUUCAGCAAUAGCAGAUCAAAGACCCGUAUGUCUUGUGAUCUUCAUGAAGUGGCUGGCAAGGCCAGAGAUUCUGAUCCCAUCACCACGUGUUAAUCUCCUGUCAAGAGAAAUAAGGAGCUACUGAGAGAAAAGCAGAUCCUGACUCCCCUCUACUUGUGAGUGACUACAAAAUCCUAUUUUGUGGCGUGAGGCAGGAGCCUAGAGAGAUUGGAGAAAAAAGCUGCUCCUCUAGAAUAUGAAAAUACCGUUUAAAGGGAAAGAGAUUAAUUAGUGAUUGAGCGCAUUCAGUGCUGUCUCUCCUCCUAUUUAUCUGGCUGCCUGUUGUCUGCAUGGCCUCCUGCUACUCAUUGUGGGUAACAUCGGAGACCUUCAUCUGCAGGAAGAUAGAAAAAGGGGCUUAUGAUCAGGCAAAGGAGACACCAGGAAAGAGGAGCAGAGUGGCUAGGGCAGUGCACUGCAGAUGCAUGGACGAAAGCUCGCAGCGACACAGGUAUGGGGUGUCUAAUCAGGGAUGAGUGUGAGCAGCAGAAUGAGGAGCAUGCUUUCCCAGAGGAAGAGAGGAAGCCACUGGAGAGAUGAAGGAUGCCAUGGACAGGAGGUGGUGUCUCUGGAGCCGCCGAGCAGCAGCCUCAUUGCUCAGAAGAUGAAGAUGCUGACGAAGACCCAGACAGGAAAAAAGGAAGAAAAAGCAUCCUGAUUGUUCCAUUAGCAAAGCCACAGUCCCGGAGAGCAAGGGGAGGGGCACAGCAGGCAGCCGCACCCAUGGGAUGCAUCUGCAGCUUGUGAGCAAUGCAUGAAAGAUGAAUCACACAGCAGCAAUGCCUUCAGCUUCCGUGUGCUAUGGCUCACUCAGCACCAGCUCUGCAGGCUGCCUAAGCCAGAAGUCAGUCUCUGCCUUUAGACUUGCUCACUUCUUUUAGGAACGGAGAUAUCCUCUGAUCCCUUGUCCUACAACCUCGAUUAAUAUCUUUCCAACAGCCAUCUGCCAAACUCAAGAAGACCCUGGAACAACCUAAUUGGAAAAGUUUCCAUCUUAUCCCUUGGAAAACUAUAGAAAAGUAGUGUCACACAAAUGUUUAAUUUCUGAUUUCUACAAUUUCAGAUACCAGAGUUUAUCUGUUACCAUGACAACUAACAGCUUUAUAAAUGUUUUCUAGCCUCUGCUAUUUUCUGGAACUUAUCUACAUUUCAGUAUUUGCUUAAUAAUUUUGAGCUGACACUAGCAACAUAAUUGUGUCUGGAUUGUGUAUGUGUAUGUCUUGUGUGUGUUGGCAGGGGGUGGGUAUAACCUAUGUCAGUGUUUUUCAAUGUGAGCAAAUUUUAAUAAACUUUUAUAUUUAAUGUGAACAUUAACUGUCACAUUCCCUCUGCC
rnacentral:lncRNA from 10 species